GGGCCUGUAGCUCAGCCAGGCAGAAUUUGAGCAUUGAUGCCUAAAGCGGCUGGCUCUUAACCAGUAGGUCGUGGGUUCGAAUCCCACCAGGCCCGCCA
rnacentral:tRNA from 1 species